GUACGGGGGGGUAAGCGUUGUUCGGAAUUACUGGGCGUAAAGGGCUCGUAGGCGGCCAACUAAGUCGGACGUGAAAUCCCUCAGCUUAACUGGGGAACUGCGUCCGAUACUGGAUGGCUUGGAUUGGGAGAGGGAUGCGGAAUUCCAGGUGUAGCGGUGAAAUGCGUAGAGUAUCUGGAGGAACACCGGUGGCGAAGGCGGGUCGCUGGGCCGUAACUGACGCUGAGGAGCGAAAGCGUGGGAGCGAACAGGAUGAGAUACC
rnacentral:rRNA from 1 species